CAGAGUGAGGUCCACUAAGUGAGGUUACCUUAAGCACACAGUCUCACAACACACCGGGUGUGCUGCUGCUGCGGGAACCCUGGCUGCCCUGACACUCUGCACGCAGGCUCGCAGGCACGCACGCACGGCAGUUCCCUGUGCCGCUCCUGGAAAAUAAUGACUUGGAUAAGGAACAGUUAAUAGGAAAAUGUGCCUCCUCGCUAACCGUGCACAGAACAACAAAGAGCUGGCAGCCCCUGAAGGAAAAGGGCUUGUGCGGCUGCCGUUCAAACUUGUCAGUCAACUGGUGCCAGCAGCCUCAGCGUCUGCCUCCCCAGCACACCCUCAUUACAUGUGUCUGUCUGGCCUCAUCUGUGCCUCGGCUCAGAGGCGCUCCUGACAAGCCGGGAUUCUCGUCCUCUCUCCCGGGUGCAAAGAGCAGAUUUCUCUCCGUGUCUCUCCUGUCACCUCUAGCUCCUCUCCCCCAAGGAGGCACCUUGAUUUAUGGUAGCUUGGGACUUCCUUCGGCGGCUGCCUGUCCUUGACUCCUAGAAUGGAAGAAGCUGAGCUGGUGAAGGGAAGACUCCAGGCCAUCACAGAUAAAAGAAAAAUCCAGGAAGAAAUCUCACAGAAGCGUCUGAAAAUAGAGGAGGAAAAAUCGAAACACCAACAUCUAAAGAAAAAAGCCUUGAGGGAGAAAUGGCUCCUGGAUGGAAUCAGCAGUGGAAAAGAACAGGAAGAGAUGAAGAAACAAAAUCAGCAAGACCAGCACCAGACCCAGGUUCUAGAGCAAAGCAUCCUCAGGCUUGAGAAAGAGAUCCAAGACCUUGAAAGGGCUGAACUGCAAAUCUCAGCCAAUGAAGAGGCAAUUCUAAAGAAGCUAAAAUCGAUCGAGCGGACGACCGAAGACAUACUAAGAUCUGUGAAGGUGGAAAAGGAAGAAAUCCCAGAAGAGUCAAUUGAGGACAUCUAUGCUAACAUCCCUGACCUUCCAAGUUCCUACGUACCUUCCAGAUUAAGAAAGGAAAGAAACGAAGGACAAGAUGAUGAUGAACAGAAUAGAAAAGCUUUGUAUGCCAUGGAAAUUAAAGUUGAAAAAGACUUGAAGACUGGAGAAAGCGUUGUUCUAUCUUCAAUCCCCCUCCCAUCAGAUGACUUUAAAAGUACAGGAAUAAAGGUAUACGACGAUGGGCAGAAGUCAGUCUACGCAGUCAGCUCCAAUCAGAACGCAAGCUACAAUGGCACUGACGGCCUCGCACCUGUGGAAGUGGAGGAUCUCCUCAGACAAGCCUCAGAGAGGAACUCAAAGUCACCCACGGAGUACCAUGAGCCCGUGUACGCCAAUCCGUUUUGCAGGCCUAUGACCCCGCAAAGAGAGAGAGUAAGCCCUGGACCAAACUUCCAAGAAAGGAUAAUGAUGAAAGCUAACGGACUGGGUAACCAUGCAAAUGAACCCAUGCACAACACUAACAAUGCGCUUUCAGAGGGGAGAAGCAAUGGCGCCCCUCACACCAGCCCGACUCGGCCAACACCUCAGCCGCGAGCAUCCCUUCAGCCAGCAGAAGAGAUGGUCCACACCCGGCAAAAGAGGAUGGUGGCUCCUUGGGAAGAAUCGAACACGGGGCAGAACGAACAUGAGGUUUCUCCGAGGACGGGACUGAGCCCCCGCCGAGCAAGCCCCGGGAAGUCAGGACCCCAGGGUUCUUCACCCACUUGCCAGGAGGAGGCUGAAGAUGUAAGAUAUAACAUCGUUCAUUCUCUGCCUUCUGAUGUGGACAACACAGAACCCGUAACGAUGAUUUUCAUGGGGUACCAGCAGGCAGAUGAUAAUGAAGAGGAAAAGAAGCUUUUGACAGGAUAUGACGGGGUCAUCCAUGCUGAGCUGGUCGUGAUUGAUGACGAGGGGGAGGAGGAGGACGGACAAGCUGAGAAGCCAUCCUACCAUCCCGUAGCUCCCUGUAGUCAGGUUUACCAGCCAACCAAACCAACCCCACUUCCUAGAAAGAGAUCGGAAGUUAGUCCUCAUGAAAACACAAACCAUAAAUCUCCCCACAAAAAUUCCAUAUCUCUGAAAGAGCAAGAGGAACGCUUAGGCAGCCCUGCCCGCCACUCUCCCCUGGGUGUUCCAAUGGCUGGAGAUGGGACUGAGGAUCCAUCCUUAACAGGGGCCACAAAAUCCAAGAGCAGCCCUUCCUGAAGCCCUGCCUCCUGCCUGUUCUGCUGUGGGACUGCGGGCUGCUCCUCAGAGGUCACCCACCCAGCAGCUCCCAGCAACAGAGCCUAUCCUGCUGACUGAGCAAAGGAAAUUCUCUCAACACAUCCUGAAGUCAAAGGAAUAUUCUUGGUCUUGCUGUUAGAAGUGAUCAUUCCUCUUCUCUUCCAAGGGAAAACAAUGCUUUUUACCUUCCUUGAAAUGAAACUAUGUCACAGACAUAUGAAAAUGACCUCAAGACAGUAGCAGGUCCCCAUCUCUUCUUAGGUUUUUGUAAAAGGCCUCUUAGAGAUAGGAUCAUUUCUUUGGUUAUUAGGUAAUAAUGUGUGACACAGAGAUGGGAAGAAAAAAAAAAACAUGUCUUCCCUUUUAUUGUUUCAUUAAAACAAAAUUGUGCAAUUAGUUAAAUGGCUGCUUCUUGGGCCAUUUUACACACGAAUGUAAUAUUACAUAAUUAAUAUAAUCACUUGCUCAGUGCCUUGAAAGCAUCUUUCAACUUUUGGAACAUGAUUGAGACAGCUCUGCUCAAAGGCCCUAAAUAUUAAGACGUGAUACCAGAACACCAAAGGAGUAUUAUAAAUUCCACACCUACACUUUUUAAAAUGUUUUCUACAGUCAACACUUCUUCAGCAGUAGAACAUAUGCAAAGAUACACCUGCCAUUCGAAAACAUAAUUACACAUUAAUGCUUAAUUAUUAGUUCACAUUGUUUCAUACAUAAAUUUAUUCUUGUCAUUGCAUAUCCAAAGGUCGGAGAGCCUUUGGACAACCAAGCUUAAUGAGAUUUUUUUUAAAGAUCUAAUCACUAAAUAUAGUUUAAGUAUUAGUAUCUUUUUUGUUCAAUAGUACAUAGUUAAGGAUAUGCACAAAACUGAUGUAAAGGAAUAUGUAUCUAGGCUGAUCGUGAAAAUAUGUAACAUCCACCUAUACUGUGUUCGCUCUGCUCAUUUUCGUGACCUUUGUAGAUGCAGGUUCCUCCUAGUUCUCAACCUACCCCUGCCCUAAGUUAACCAGAGCUCAUUAUUUCUACUAUCUUUUUAUGCUACUAAAACAAUGCUCACGCUGUUGGAUAAAACCAUCUGAGCUUUAAGGAUAAGAAUGGCAAAACUGGGGAAAAAGGUAAUCUGAGCUGUAGUGCCCACCUGAGGAACCUUCGGAGAAGCAGCCAAGAAAUGCCUGAAAAUUUCUUUUCUGAAUACUUUUAUUUCUUUUUCCUAAAGUCCAAAUAUAUAUAUAAUUAUACCUAUAGUAAGCCACAUAAAUAAAUAGUAGUCAUUAUUUGUGGAAAAAUACCCCCAAAAACUGGGGAAAACAAAUGCUAACUUUUCCAGUUACUUGACAUGACUCAGUGGGUCGGGGGAACCAAUAUAUUUUUAUUGUAUUGAUACCAAAGCAUUUCUAAUAAGAGCUUGUUAAAUUUAAGAAUAAAGUUAUUUAAAAUACCUUGA